UAACGGCCAUACCAUGCUGAAUAUACCGGUUCUCGUUAGAUCACCGAAGUCAAGCAUCAUUGGGCGCGGUCAGUACUUGGGUGGGUGGGUGACCACCUGGGAACACCGCGUGCCGUU
rnacentral:rRNA from 1 species